GCCCCAGUAGCUCAGCGGAUAGAGCAGCUGCCUUCUAAGCAGUCGGCCGCAGGUUCAAGUCCUGCCUGGGGUA
rnacentral:tRNA from 1 species